rnacentral:tRNA from 1 species
UCCCAGGUGGCUCAGUGGUAAAGGAUCUGCCUGCAAUGCAGGAUAUGCAGGAAAUGUGGGUUUGAUCCCUGGCUUGGGAA